AGACAAGCUCCGUCUUGACCUUGCUGGACUCCAGACGCGACUCGACCAGCUGAUCUUCCAGAUGCCCAAUCUGCCAGACAUAAUUGGUAAGCAAUUUUGCUCUUGUCAUCGUCAUCGCUGCUGUGCAUCGAGCUGCGACUCUGGCGUCCGGUAUUGUUGGCUUUCAGAUCGCCAAUCUUCUUCUGCGCCAGCUCGAGCAUCUGCUUAAAGGCAUCUCUGUCUUUCUUGAAGCGCUCGCAUUGGCGCUGCAAUCAUAUCGACAUAAAACUGGCUGAUCUCUAUGGCAAUUAGCUCAGAGCUUACCUGCAUGGAGGUGAGUUCUCCACUGAGAUUCUUCACCUGCUGCUCAUAGCGCAACCGCGUGGAGGCCACUUCGGACUUAAGCUGCAGCUCAGAGGCUUGCAAUCUGCAAGGAGUAGUACAGUUAAAUCCAUGGCCAGAAGUCGUAUUCGUAUUCGAGGAUAAAAAUUCUGCCCCAGACAUGGAGUUGGGCCAACAAAAAGCCGCCGCACAAAAGAUUCUAACUACUUGGAUUAGCAUUAGAUGGAAACAAGAAAGAAUUUGUGUGUACUCCUCUUCGGCUGGCCGAAUACCUAAUACCCUUGCAGGCUUUAGUUCUUGUGAUAUUCAUUUUGUAUAUGCGUUGGCCCUGCUCUAAAAGUCAUUCAAUUAGAGAAUCGAUUUUCAUUUUAGGCAGACCUCAAUUCCUUUACUACUCUCCUAAGGAGCAGCUGUGUUUUCGAAUUAAAUAAAAGUUACUUGCAGAGUCUGCGGAAGGUGAAGCUAAUGAAAACUGGUGGAACUUGCUGAGAUAAAACUGCUUCUCAAUAGGAAUCAACGAGUCCUACUCGAACUUGAGCAUCUCGGCAUCGAUUCGUUUAGAAUAAAGCUCACUUCCUUUUCUAUUCUCAUGUAGAUCAGACGCUCGCUUUAAUACUAUCAUAUAUAUACAGGUACUAUUAAAGCGAACGUCUGAUUCAUAUGAGUAUAGAAAAGGAACUGAGGUUGAUUCUAGAUGAAAUCGAAUAACUAACAAAGCCGGAGCUCCUACGAUUUUAAGUGCUUAAAUUAUACAACAACGUUUAUAAUUUACCAUAUUUUAAAGAGUUGCCGAUAUUAAACCCUCUGCAAGGGUAUAUCAACGUAUUUACACAAAUACAAUGGAGAGACAUAAACAAGAAAAUCAACUGCACUAAAUAUUGAGACAGAUCGCAACCAGCAAAGACCUUUACAGAAGGACUAACCGAUAUAACUGUAAAUAUUCAUCCUCUUUUGGCUCUGGCCCAAAAAAUGGAGUUAACAAGAAACUAUUCUCUGCUUUACUAUUAAUUCUACCUAAAUCGAAACUAUUUUUGUAUAAAAUAUAUGUAAAUUUAAAUAACAUUUUAA